rfam:Bacillus cellulosilyticus DSM 2522, complete genome.
AAGGAGCUACAACCGCGCAGAUCAGGUUUUAAGCAUGAACGUAUGUGCACCUGUAAUGGCGAGUCUGAGUAUUGAA